UCGCGCAUGGCCGUAGCUUCCUUGGCGACGUA
rnacentral:scRNA from 1 species